GCAAUCCAGUCUUGUGAUAGCAUACGUUCGGAGGUCUUCGUCGAGAGAACAUUAGGGCAAAACCAGUCACUGAAAAAGAAUAACAAAAUGGGAUUCAUCACUGUUGUGAUUCAACUGGCAUUAUUGUUCGUAUUUUCAAUCUACUGUCAAAAUACGAUCGCCAAUGAUCAAUCCAACAACUUGUCCAACCCUGAUCUACUUUUUGACAAGGUUGAUAAGGAAUGCGUGGCAUGGCGCACCGUUCCAUGCCAAAAAGGAAUGACACCCACGAGUGUCAUUUCUCAAGAAAAAAUUGAUGAUUCAUCCGAAUCGGACAUUAACCAGCAAUCGGACUGCAUAACCUAUCAAUUGACUCCGUGCAGUCUUGACGUUGAAUCAAGACAUUAUCUAAUCCACAAUGGAUUGGAAGAAUCAAAGAACGAAAGAACAGAACUGAAAGAAUGUGAAUUUAAAAAUAAAAGAUGCCAAGAAGAUUUGGCAGUAGUCCUUGGAAAAUUGAAGGACUGUACCACACAAUAACUGGCGGACAACCAAUUAUUCAUGGCCAUUGGAAUCCGAAAGAGGAAAACGGUUGCGAUUACCUUACGUUAUUUUCAUUAUUACCAUAUUUUUUCCACGAGUGCAUUUUCAAAAAUAAACAAAAUUUGUUU